rnacentral:rRNA from 1 species
GAUGAACGCUGGCGGCGUGCCUAAUACAUGCAAGUCGAGCGAACGGACGAGAAGCUUGCUUCUCUGAUGUUAGCGGCGGACGGGUGAGUAACACGUGGAUAACCUACCUAUAAGACUGGGAUAACUUCGGGAAACCGGAGCUAAUACCGGAUAAUAUUUUGAACCGCAUGGUUCAAAAGUGAAAGACGGUCUUGCUGUCACUUAUAGAUGGAUCCGCGCUGCAUUAGCUAGUUGGUAAGGUAACGGCUUACCAAGGCAACGAUGCAUAGCCGACCUGAGAGGGGGAUCGGCCACACUGGAGCUGAGACACGGUCCAGACUCGUACGGGAGGCAGCAGUAGGGAAUCUGCCGCAAUGGGCGAAAGCCUGACGGAGCAACGCCGCGUGAGUGAUGAAGGUCUUCGGAUCGUAAAACGCUGUUAUGAGGUAAGAACAUAUGUGUAAGUAACUGUGCACAUCUGGACGGUACCUAAGCAGAAAGCCACGGCUAACUACGU